GAUGAACGCUGGCGGCGUGCCUAAUACAUGCAAGUCGAGCGAACAGACGAGGAGCUUGCUCCUCUGACGUUAGCGGCGGACGGGUGAGUAACACGUGGAUAACCUACCUAUAAGACUGGGAUAACUUCGGGAAGCCGGAGCUAAUACCGGAUAAUAUAUUGAACCGCAUGGUUCAAUAGUGAAAGACGGUUUUGCUGUCACUUAUAGAUGGAUCCGCGCCGCAUUAGCUAGUUGGUAAGGUAACGGCUUACCAAGGCGACGAUGCGUAGCCGACCUGAGAGGGUGAUCGGCCACACUGGAACUGAGACACGGUCCAGACUCCUACGGGAGGCAGCAGUAGGGAAUCUUCCGCAAUGGGCGAAAGCCUGACGGAGCAACGCCGCGUGAGUGAUGAAGGUCUUCGGAUCGUAAAACUCUGUUAUCAGGGAAGAACAAAUGUGUAAGUAACUAUGCACGUCUUGACGGUACCUAAUCAGAAAGCCACGGCUAACUACGUG
rnacentral:rRNA from 1 species